rnacentral:sRNA from 1 species
UGAUGAGGUAAAAAUAAUGUGGUGUUUU